CCUCUCACCCCCUGCAAGAUCCCAGUGCGUAUCUCCGGCCCCUUGGUGUCCAGACCUAUGGCCACGGGUCGGUUGCUGAGCGGAGAAGUUGCAAAGCUCUUCACCGCCUCCCGGAUGUUGGCGAUGGACUCAGCGUGGUACUGGGACGGGAACCGAGUGGGGAUUUCAGAGCCUUGAUCAUCUCCUUGAGGCGCUCCACGGAGCGAGAUGCCGGCCCUGGAACCAGAGAUCCUGUUCGGACAACUCUCUACCCAAACCUGAGAGACAAUCAGACCCAUCACAGAGACGCCCUGUGCUGCAAAAGUCUUGUUACCUGACCUUUAUUUCCUGACGCAACCCCUGCUCACAGGUCAGAAGCGCCCUUCCCCUCUCCAGCCAACACCUGCCUCCUUGGGGAGGCAGUACUGCGGGUCUUGGAGAGGAGGGUCCUCAGCCAGGCCGGAGGUAAGUGUGUAAUGUAAAGUGGCAGUAGCUGUGGCAGUGAUGUAAGUGCUGCAGUGGUGGUGAGGAUGGGGGUACGGACCCCCACGUCGGAAAGGGGAUGGGUGCCAGCUCAGAUAAUUUGGGGUUCAGGGCUUUAGAGCUGAGAGGAUUCAUAUUGAGGACAGUUGAGUUCUGUCCCAACCAGAUAAAGCAGCUGUGUGACAGAGAGUCAGCCGGCCAUCCUCUCCAGGCACUACCUAAAGCCACUUCUUCCCGUGGGGGAAGAAUGCCCCACUCUCUUCUCUGUCAUUUCCCCUUCACUCCCUUGUGAAUUAGCCUCAUGGCUUUAAAUGCCAUCUAUAAACUGACCACUACCAAAUUUAAAUCUGCCGUUCAAACCUCUCUCCCAAAUCCACAGUUGUGUGUCUGAUUGCCUACUUUGCAUCACACUUGGAUGUCUGGUGCGCAUCUCAAUCUCAACAUGCCCCAAACUGAAAUCUUUAUCUCCUUCCCACUGCCCCCAGCCCUUUCCACCACAAUCUUUCCUGCUCAGUUGAUAAUGCAUCCUUCUAGAUGGUCGUGCCAGAAACCUUGGAGGAAAUCCUGCGGGCUCUACCUUCAAAACACGUUCAGAAUCUGAUCACUUCUUACCACCUCUACUGUCACCAUGUGGUCUAAGCCAGAAAUACUGCAGGAGCAGCUUCUGCCCUUGCCUGCACCCCAAACCCCAAUCAAUUUUCAAUACAGCAGCCUGAGUUAUUCUGUUAAAACAUAAGGAGGAGCGUUGGUACCCUCUUCUCAAAACUCUACAGUAGUUUCCCAUUUCCCUUGGAAGAAAACUCAACUCAAAUUCUGAAAAAGGCCUAUGAAAGCAGUCUGUGGCUCCCCCUCCCCUUCAAGCUCCAUUUCUGCUACUCUUCCCCUUUGAUGGUUUCUAGCCAUUCCAGCCUCCUUGACUUAGGGCCUUUUCACUGACUGUUCCCUCUGUCUGGAACUUUCUUCCCAAACCCAUCUGUAUGGGUCAUUCUGUCAUUUCCUUCGUAUCUUUGCUCAGGUCUUAAUUUUCUGAACAAGGCUACCUCGACUCUAUGUAGGACUGUAAUGUGCCUCCCUCCCUCACAUCCCUAAUACUCCUUACCAGGCUCUGUUUUUCGUUUUACCAUAUUCUUAACACUUUCUCACAUACUUAAAAAGUUAUUUAAAAAUAUGUAUUAUCUCUAUUAUUUAUUGCCUAGAUUGUCAGCUACCCAAGGGUAGGAAUCUUCAUUUCAUUGGUCUCUUCCCAGGGCCCAAAACCUUGCUUACCAAGUGCUCAACAAAUAUUUUUGAAUGACUGACUCCGUCAAACGUGGGGAAGUCUUGAAAUAGACAAAAGAUGGGGAAGCACCUUGAGGAGCACCCAGGAGGCCCUGUGCUGCUGCGGGGGAGGGGGCUGCUUACCGAUGGUGGCAAUGAUGCUGGUGCUGCGAGCGGCCACGGGCUCGGAGUCAAUGUCCAACAAGCAGAGGUGUUCCAGGAAGGUGUCUGCCAUAGCGGCCGACAGCUGCUGCCGCUGGAAGAAGCUGACUGGCUUCCCGGCCCUCUCCUCUGAGAUUCCUUGGCUCCUUCAAUGCUACUUGAUCCAGUGAAGCCCAGCCCAGAUGAGCUCCCCUGCCAGCCACACCCUCCAUGCCACUGAACGUCUGCCAGUCUCUGGGGGUCUGUGCCACGGUAUCGGGCUAUUGAAGCCCCAGGGCUCAGCUGGGCUGGGGAUCAGUCCUGCAUACUGGUUAAAGUGUUACCAGUGUCUCCUGUGUCACUGGAAGCCUUGUGCACUAGGGGCCAGAGGCCAGGAGCCACAGGACAACCCCUCUGCCUAGCCUAUAGGGCUGGUAGAAGAAGCCCAGAUCAGGGUUCAUAACUUAACCCAGGGGAGACUCCCAUGAACUCAGAAUCUCUCCAAGUCCCCCCUGGCCAGCAGCAGAUAUUGGUCAUUUGGACCAUCUACCCCCAUUUCUGACCUCCAUCCUCAUUUUCCCUCUCUGUUCAAUAGCUUCUGUUGCCCUUUCUUACCUCCUGGAGCCCCAAUCAGGAUGGACUUUGCUAAGUCUCUUUGAGACUUAUGGAUCCUUGACCAGAGCUGCUGGGAUUGCAUGUCCUCUUGCAUGGACAUGUUUCCAAACUGUGGGACUGGGGCUGCCUGGACUGUGGAGAAAGAGAGAGGAUGACAAAACUGCUUGUCUUAUCUAAGGGAGCCAGAGAAAAGAAAAGGGACACACCCAGGAGGCCAACCCUACCCCCACACAGAGUCCCUCCCCCAGGCCUGCUGGCCCUCUGCCCCUGUCUUCUGGCAUUCUCCUUCUCUAUCCAUUUUUCCUGAUAAAUUCUCCAGCCACUCACACUUUCUGGUCAUCAACAUGAGUAGAGAUAUUUUGCCAAUGAUAUCACCCCUUUUCCUUUGCACUUUACUGAAGUUAGUCUUGGAAGCAGGGGACUUAGGGACUGGAGACUAAAGAAAGGGGAUGGAGAGCGCCCUGAUGGUGUGGUGGGAUUCUCUGGAAGGGCUCUGAUAGCGUCACCAUCAUAACAUCAGCUACUGUUUGCUUGCUCACUGACCAAUAUUUAUUGAACACCUGCUCCAUGCAAGGACCUGAGGAUACAUAAUGAGCAAAACAGACAUUUGGAAUUUACAGUAUGGUGGGGAAACAGUCUACAAACAAGUACCAAACAAAUGCAUAUAUAUGUAACUACAAACUGUACAUGCUAUUAAAGGAAUUGAUUGGGGCACUGGAACAGAAAAGCCAAUGGGAGCAGAGAGGGGAAUGUAUUUCACAUGAGGUGGCUGGGAAAGGCUUCUUUGUAGUGAUCGUAUUUAAGCUGAAAUUUGAAGAAUAAAAAGGAACCAUCCAGUUGCCCCCUAAGCCAACCUGGGAGGAAAAUUUGAAGCAAGGAACUUUCUGUGGAGUUGGAAAUAAUAGAUGCCAAGGCUCUGAGGAAGGAGAAAGGUGCCCAAGAGAGGGAAAGCUGCAAUGAGGCCAUGUGCCUGGGGGGCACUGGGUUUCCCCAGAGGAGUGACCUGGCCCAGCUCACACUCGAGAUCCCCCUGGCUGGUGGGUGGAGAAUAGGUGGUAGGUGCAGGGAGACCAGUGAGAGGUUUUAGGAGUGAUCUGGGUGGGAGGUGAUGGACUAGCAUAGCCUCAGUGGGGAUGGAGAGAGGGAGACAGAUUUGAGAUGUAUCUGGAGAAGAGCAGAGACAUGUGGAAUGACAGAUGUGGGGACGGGGAGGGAGACUGCCAUUCCCUGAAGGAUGGUGCUGAGGGGUCUGGCUUGAGCGGCUGGGUGGAUGGUAUACCCCUUACUGAGACCAGGGAAGCAAUAGGUUUGUGAGGGAGAACACCCAAGGUUUCAGCUUUUAGACAGGCUAAGUACACGAUGCCAAUUAAUCACCAGAAUGGAAGCAGUCAGCCGGAUCUGUUCAUCGAGCACUUACUGUGUGCGGUAACAUCCUCCCCGUUAUCACUGACAACCUAGUAGGAGGGUAGGAUUGAUAAUGGCCUGUUUCACAGAUGAGGGAACUGAGGCUAUCAGGGUGUGCUGGGCACCUUGUGUCACCACUCCAAAGCCUCUCUCUAUCCUUCUCCACUCUGCUCAGUGGCCUGGAAGCUGAAGGCCCUUCCCCACGGCUUCCGUAGGGCUUGGCCAGUGGAGAGCGGCACCAAUAGGAGAGGAGACGGACCAGAGGGAGGCUAGGCAUGUACCUGCCUCUCCCCCUGCAGGUUUGCUGUAGGUCACCUCUCCUGCCCGGGGCCCUGUCUCCAGAUUCUAGGAACCAUUUUUUCCCCAUUCCCUGGACCCCUACGAGUGGUAAUAAGCCCACUGUUGCUAGACCUGGGGUAAUGUCCACUGAACCCACUGUGGUUCAGUAGCACCCUGUCCGUACCUUUGUAUAUAAUCCUAUUAUGAAGCAAUCUUCAAAUUAUCCAGUUCGAGAGAGCCCUUGGAUUCCUGAUAAGACCCUGCCUGAUACACUUAUCUAGGGGCUAAAAUCUUUUAUGUUUUUAGCUUUUUUAUUGUGGCUAUACAUAUAUAUAUAGCACUUGACAUUUUAAUAAUUUUUAACGGUACAGUUCAGUGGCAUUUAAGUACAUUAACAAUGUUGCGCAGCCAUCACACUGUUUCUGAAACUCUUUCGUCGUGGGGCUAAAAUCUCGUCAGCGGUGGAGCUGGGAUUCAUGCCCAGAGAGUGUGGUUCCAGAACCUAAGCUGUAACCAUUUGUCUCUGUUCGUUCCCUCCCAGGACUGUCUCAGUGGAAGAGGAGGAGGCAAGCCUCAGACUCUGAUUGGAAAAGGAAGAGGUUAGAUAGUGGGAAGGGCUCCCCGAAGGGGAAUGGGCGUGGAUCCUAGGUUCUGUUUAUAGAAGGCAGAACAGAGAAAGAUGGACAAAAGCUGUACCCAGAGGCUGCACAACAGACUUCAGGGCCUGGGACUCAGGCCUGGUGCUUGGGGAUUAGGGAGGAACAUGGGCUGUUUAAGGCUGGCCUGGCAAUUUCAGACUGACUCCAAGACCCGUUGGGAGGACAAGAAUGCCAGAGAUGCAGAUCCCAGGUGGCCAGCAGGAGGGGGAGUUGGUGUCCCAGAGCAGCUCCUGUCUUACCGAACUGAGGGACAAAAGCUUUGACCAGAAGUCUGGUCAAAAGCAGUCUGGCUGACCCUGGGUCCACGGGUGACCAUGUGAGAGAUGGGCUGGACUUUGUUACACGGCCCAUCCCGAGCAGGACUGGGGGUGAGAAAGCCAAGAGGACACCUGGUCUCCGGGAUCCGAAGAGAGCUGUGUGUUCAGCUUUGUUGGGUGAGAGUCCUCCUCACCCCUGAAAAUGCACGCUCAGACACACACAGCCACCCAUGUGCAGUCAAACACAUACAGACACAGACCCCACUAUGUGCCCUGCCCCAUAUUGGACUCCGGGGGUGUGAGGUCACCAAAGUCAAGUCCUGCCCAGACUCAAGAGAGACGGAAUGCUAGCCCUUAGGUGUAAUAAAGUGUGUCAGGCUCAGUGAUGGAGUUGUAUUUAGGACAUAGGGGGGCACUGGGUGAGACUGAGCAUUGUGAGGGAGGGAGGAGGUCAGGGUGGCUUCACAGAGGAGAGGACACCACAGCUGAACAGAGCCAAGGACAGAGACUGUCCGGCGCUGGGAUACAUACACAUGUGCACACACACAAACACCUCCAUAUGCA